rnacentral:lncRNA from 1 species
CCGGCCGGGCCGGCGGCGUCUGCGCUGGGGAAGGCUGUAGACCUGGCCCCUGAAGUGCAGGCCGAUCCGGUGUGCGUGGAGCGAAGCCUCCUCGCCCUCAGCAUUCCAGUAGCCUGCGGACGGGCGUGGGGCCCCGGACACUGGAACGCCACACUCUGCAAAACCCAGUGGCCAGGGGUGCAACUUGCACGUGCACUCGGGGUAAAAGAUCAAGAAACGAAUGCAUUCAGAAGUCAGGCCUGGCCAGGCUCGGUGGCUCACACCUGUAUUCCAAUACUUUGAGAGGCUGAGGUGGGAGGAUCGCUGGAGAACAAAAGUUGGAGACCAGCCCCGAUAACAUAGCGACCCAGGCAUGGUGGCAUGUGCCUGUAGUUCCAGCUACUGGGGAGGCUGAGGUGGGAGGUCACGUCACUUGAGCCCAGUAGGUAGAGGCUGCAGUGAGUUAUUAUUGCACCACUGCACUCCAGUCUGGGUGACAGAGUGAGACCCUGUCUCAAAAAAAAAAAGAACAAGGUCAGGCCUUCUCCUUCCUAAGACAUGCAUGUCAGAAGAAUUCCAGCCUUUCAGCUGUCUUAUAUUUAAUGGAGCCUCUCCUCCUUCCCUCCUGGGUGUGGCCAUGUCAAAAAAGCGAAAACAACAAUAUUUGUUACCACUGCUGGAUGAACAGGGCCAUCAAAAAUGGGAAACAUUUUGAAAAC